UAAACAACUCCCAAACCCACUGUGAACAUACCCCACGUUGCCUCGGCAGGCGCCCGGCUCCGCGACCCCUCGGGGCUGCGGGGUGGCCCUGCCGGCGGCCCACGAAACUCUUGUCUAGCACUGAAUUCUGAGCCCGAGAGGGAUAAAAACAAAAUUAGUUAAAACUUUCAACAACGGAUCUCUUGGUUCUGGCAUCGAUGAAGAACGCAGCGAAAUGCGAUAAGUAAUGUGAAUUGCAGAAUUCAGUGAAUCAUCGAAUCUUUGAACGCACAUUGCGCCCGCCAGUAUUCUGGCGGGCAUGCCUGUCCGAGCGUCAUUUCAAACCCUCAAGCCUCGUUGCUUGGUGUUGGGAGCCUACGGCUGUAGCUCCUCAAAGUCAGUGGCGUGGGCUGGCUCGCACCCCAGAUGUAGUAGUUAUUUCUCUCACCUGUGGUCGGGCUAGUCCCCUGCCGUAAAACCCCCCAGACUUUUUAGUGUUUGACCUCGGAUCAGGUAGGGAUACCCGCUG
rnacentral:rRNA from 1 species